CAGCCGCCGCGGGAAUACAGAGGGUGCGAGCGUUAAUCGGAUUUACUGGGCGUAAAGCGUGCGUAGGCGGCUUUUUAAGUCGGAUGUGAAAUCCCUGAGCUUAACUUAGGAAUUGCAUUCGAUACUGGGAAGCUAGAGUAUGGGAGAGGAUGGUAGAAUUCCAGGUGUAGCGGUGAAAUGCGUAGAGAUCUGGAGGAAUACCGAUGGCGAAGGCAGCCAUCUGGCCUAAUACUGACGCUGAGGUACGAAAGCAUGGGGAGCAAACAGGAUUAGAUACCCGUGUAGUCCCUGUCUCUUAUAA
rnacentral:rRNA from 1 species